rnacentral:rRNA from 1 species
UGGGGAAUUUUGGACAAUGGGCGAAAGCCUGAUCCAGCAAUGCCGCGUGUGUGAAGAAGGCCUUCGGGUUGUAAAGCACUUUUGUCCGGAAAGAAAUCCUUGGCUCUAAUACAGUCGGGGGAUGACGGUACCGGAAGAAUAAGCACCGGCUAACUACGUGCCAGCAGCCGCGGUAAUACGUAGGGUGCAAGCGUUAAUCGGAAUUACUGGGCGUAAAGCGUGCGCAGGCGGUUUGCUAAGACCGAUGUGAAAUCCCCGGGCUCAACCUGGGAACUGCAUUGGUGACUGGCAGGCUAGAGUAUGGCAGAGGGGGGUAGAAUUCCACGUGUAGCAGUGAAAUGCGUAGAGAUGUGGAGGAAUACCGAUGGCGAAGGCAGCCCCCUGGGCCAAUACUGACGCUCAUGUACGAAAGCGUGGGGAGCAAACAGGAUUAGAUACCCUGGUAGUCCACGCCCUAAACGAUGUCAACUAGUUGUUGGGGAUUCAUUUUCCUUAGUAACGUAGCUAACGCGUGAAGUUGACCGCCUGGGGAGUACGGUCGCAAGAUUAAAACUCAAAUGAAUUGACGGGGUCAUAGCUGUUUCCU